rnacentral:lncRNA from 7 species
GCAAGAUGUUUCCCCUCCUGCCGAGGUGCUGUGGCAGCCAGGGACCGACCUGUUCCUCAGCAUGUGCUGCCUCGUGCAGGCCUUCUGGGUCAGGUGGCAAAAUCGUCAGCAGCCAGCUGAUCUGAAAUGUCCGAGCGAGACUCCAGCGUAGCCCAUGUUGCCAUUUCAGCAAGAUGUUUCCCCUCCUGCCGAGGUGCUGUGGCAGCCAGGGACCGACCUGUUCCUCAGCAUGUGCUGCCUCGUGCAGGCCUUCUGGGUCAGGUGGCAAAGUCGUCAGCAGCCAGCUGAUCUGAAAUGUCCGAGCGAGACUCCAGCGUAGCCCAUGUUGCCAUUUCAGCAAGAUGUUUCCCCUCCUGCCGAGGUGCUGUGGCAGCCAGGGACCGACCUGUUCCUCAGCAUGUGCUGCCUCGUGCAGGCCUUCUGGGUCAGGUGGCAAAGUCGUCAGCAGCCAGCUGAUCUGAAAUGUCCGAGCGAGACUCCAGCGUAGCCCAUGUUGCCAUUUCAGCAAGAUGUUUCCCCUCCUGCCGAGGUGCUGUGGCAGCCAGGGACCGACCUGUUCCUCAGCAUGUGCUGCCUCGUGCAGGCCUUCUGGGUCAGGUGGCAAAAUCGUCAGCAGCCAGCUGUGAGUUCUCCCGGGCUGUUGCUGCCAGGCGUUUCUUUGUGUUGGGGAUCUGAAAUGUCCGAGCGAGACUCCAGCGUAGCCCAUGUUGCCAUUUCAGCAAGAUGUUUCCCCUCCUGCCGAGGUGCUGUGGCAGCCAGGGACCGACCUGUUCCUCAGCAUGUGCUGCCUCGUGCAGGCCUUCUGGGUCAGGUGGCAAAGUCGUCAGCAGCCAGCUCUCACUUCCUGAGGUGAAGAGACUGUAACUGACAACUGUGAAUUAUCUCAAGGGGCGAGCGGUGGGUGUCACCAUGGCACAGUACUUCUGCUUAUGGUUUUAAAGGUUUUAAUUGUCCAUAUGAACAGCUGCUUCAAGAGCCUUGUGGACAUCUAAAACUGUGAUUUGAAUGUAGGAAAAUCCCAGGAUGAAAGAAUUUUUGCCUGGACUGAAGCAGGAAAGAAACAGUGUUUUAAUGGUCACCAUGACUUCUUGUUUCCUUGUGAUUCUCCUGUCAAAGAAUUUUCCCUUGGAUUCUACCCCAGCCAACAUCCAGGCUAAUUUCACCUUAUAGUUUAGCCAGAACAGUGUCACCAGGAGGAAAGAGUAGAGAAUGUCUGGUAAAAUAACUCCGUUAUUACAUUCUAAUCCACAAAUACUAGGUACACUAAUUAAUAAUGCUUUGCAAUAAUAUAGUUCAUUUGAUUAAAGGUUCAGAAAGUGGUUUAUUUUUAUUGAUUGGUAUAAAAUUGUGCUAGAUCCUGAAGAUAGGCAAGCACUGCAUCUCAUUUCUCAUAGUUGAUAGUUUUAACACAAAUAAAAUUGUAAUUCAUGAGU